rnacentral:rRNA from 1 species
UACGUAGGGGGCAAGCGUUGGUCCGGAUUUAUUGGGCGUAAAGAGCGUGUAGGCGGCCAGACAGGUCCGUUGUGAAAACUCGAGGCUCAACCUCGAGACGCCGAUGGAAACCGUCUGGCUAGAGUCCGGAAGAGGAGAGUGGAAUUCCUGGUGUAGCGGUGAAAUGCGCAGAGUAUCAGGAGGAACACCGAUGGCGAAGGCAGGUCUCUGGGCAUUGAACUGACGCUGAGGAGCGAAAGCUAGGGGAGCAAACAGGA